CACGUCGACAGUGGGUCCCACGUUUUUUAUUUUUUUUACGCUCACGAGUGGGCUUUGUCUGGGGUUAAUCACAUUUAUAUAGAUUUGAUUUUGUUUGGGCUUUUUUUGACAGAUAAUUUGUUUGGCCUGUUACCUUCCUACGUUAACACCAGCUAGGGUUUCAUUCCUCUCAGAGAUUGUUCUGCGACAAAGGGGCGCUUCCUCAUCCAAUGAAUUCAAUUUUGAAACUCAUCUCUUCGACUCCUCCAAACACGUUCAAUGCCGCUGAAACGAUUUCACUUCCUACAACCCUUCUCCAGGCUCCAUUAUAUAAAGGUCUUCUAAGGUUAGCACUCAUUUGCCUCUUACUUUGUCUCCUCUACUCUUUUCCCUUUGUUUGACUCUGAAACCUCCGUUCCCAAAAUGGCUUCAUCGCCGUCGUCGCCCACUCUACUUUCAUUCGUUGGGAUUCCUGAAACAUCAAGAAGAAUGGAGAGUUCAUGGGGAUCACGAUUCUUCUCCUCGAUGAAUUGGACUCGGUCAUUCAUUCCCGCUAACAUAUUUUUCAACUCGCAGAUGUUGCAGGUGAAAUACACUCCGUCCAGGGGCCGAUCUCAGGAGCAAUGCAGCAACCACCAGAGUUGUGGUCCGCCUCUUAAUCGAACCGGAUGUAACUGUCUACUUGUCUUUGUGGGACGAGGCUACAUCAACCUUCAGAGGUCUCUUGAAAGGAGGGGAUAAAUCCCAGUCGGUGGUGACUACGGUUAAUCCAAAACUAUUUGGAGAGAACCUAUACUUAAACUCCACACCAGGGGCUAUCUUCGUUUUUGACUCCAGCCUCUCUGAAAUAACAGAGUUUGUCAGCAGGCUGCAAACGGUGGAGAGGAGAAUCUCCCAAGCUGCCUUGAAGAGCUAACUGAGAAGGAGUUUGUGUUCCAGAUCCAUGUCACAACUUUCAACUUCACACCCAACCACCGUAUUUUCACUGUCCCCACCAUCACUGAAGAUACCAUCUUAGGAACCCAUGGCAAGGGGCACUGUGAGAAUAUUCUUCCAAGCAGUGAAGUUGACGUAAGAUUGGAAUCAUCACCUUCGGGCCCGUCUGUUUUGGGUGAGAAUGUCAGGGAGGAAUUUGCUACAGCAGAUCCUCCAGAGAUUUCAGCCGCUCAGAACAACCGCAAGGGCCGCCGUGCGUGAAUGAAAUGAUCUAAUUCCUAUCAGCCCGUCAACCGUUUUGUCUAUGCGUUUUAAAAAAAACUACUACUACCUUUGUUUCUCAUGUUAAACUUUGGAUAUUUUUCCCUUGCAUGUUUGCUUCUGUUCGGAUAUUUAAUUUUGGUUUGGAUUACUUAUGAAAUGUUGACGGUUCUAAUUGAUACAAGAUUUGGCACUGGUGUA